rnacentral:rRNA from 1 species
UACGGGGGGGGGCAAGCGUUGUUCGGAAUUACUGGGCGUAAAGGGCUCGUAGGCGGCCAACUAAGUCAGACGUGAAAUCCCUCGGCUUAACCGGGGAACUGCAUCCGAUACUGGAUGGCUUGAAUCCGGGAGAGGGAUGCAGAAUUCCAGGUGUAGCGGCGAAAUGCGUAGAUAUCUGGAGGAAUACCGGUGGCGAAGGCGGCAUCCUGGACCGGCAUUGACGCUGAGUGAGCGAAAGCCAGGGGAGCAAACGGG